AUCAGUUUUGAGGGGACUUGUACUUGUAAUCUCUAACUAAAGACCAAAUUGCUUUCAGUGUAGAGUAACUACUAAAUCACAAAAGUGAGAUAGGUUUCAACAUGAGGACAAGGGGGGAAUCAGCUUUCAAUUAAUUCUCCUAAGGUACAAAAUCAGCCUAUAAAACCCCCCCUCAACCCCACCGUUAGACUCCCUUCAAUACACUUGAAAUUUCAGCAAAUUAAGAGUUAGAGAGAGAGCUUGGAGUAGGAUUCUGCAGGCUUUCUUACAGCAGCCCUGCAUCCCUUAGGAACUCUAAAGGAGGAGGGCAAGCUUUGUUUCCUAACAACAAAUACCAAGUCAGUAAUUGCUCCAAGAGGUAAUACACCUCCACCUUC